rnacentral:rRNA from 1 species
CNAGAGGGUUCGGCCCUCGGCAUACUGCUCCCUAACACGUGGAUNAUCUGCCCUUGGGUCAGGGAUAACCUCAAGAAAUUGAGAAUANUNCCUCNUAGUUCUGGGAUGCUGGAAUGCUCCCAGAUAUAAAGUUCCGGCGCCCAAGGAUGAGUCUGCGGUCUAUUAGGUUGUAGUGAGUGUAAGGGACUUACUAGCCUUCGAUGGAUACGGGCCUUGAGAGAGGUAGCCCGGAGAUGGACUCUUAGACACGAGUCCAGGCCCUACGGGGUGCAGCAGGCGCGAAAACUUCACAAUGCGGGAAACCGCGAUGAGGGAACUCCAAGUGCCCGAUUUUCGGGCUGUACCAGUCCCUAAAACGGACUGGGAGAAAGAGCUGGGCAAGACUGGUGCCAGCCGCCGCGGUAAUAUCAGCAGCUCGAGUGGUGAUCAUUUUUAUUGGGCCUAAAGCGUCCGUAGCCCGAAUGGUAAAUUCUUGAGUAAUCGGGCAGCUCAACUGUUCGAUCUUGGAGGAGACUGCUAUUCUUGGAACUGGGAGAGGUCANAAGUACUCUGAGGGUANGGUGAAAUCUUAUCAUCCUCAGGGACUACCAGUGGCGAAGNGGUCUGAC